UUAAGAUAAGCGAGUUUCAAACUUAUGACCAGUAUUCUCUGUGCAGCUGGACAAGAAGAGUCAGGUGGACACGAGGCAAUGACUUGACAGCAUCAGACACAGUAGGCCUAUGAAUUAAAGGAAGUAUUUUAGUUAACAGAGCACUUACUGUACACAUGGAACAGUGCUGUGUGGCCUCCUGUUGCUACAGAGAUCCAUAAUCACAUAUAAUCUCUUUGAGGAGUUUAGGGUAGGGUUGGAGAAAAGCCCAUUAAAAAUACUCACGCAUAUUUUUAUGAUGGAUUAUACACGAUGUCUAUUAGAUUUGUGAGAAUCUGUAAGUCAAAAAGCAUUCUGAAUGUGACUCUCGACGUUGUGGGUCUCUGGCAGAAUGGAAAAAAGGAAAUCCCAGAGUCUACCUUUUCUACUGGAAAAAUGAAGAUAAUAGUACUAACUGGCAGGAUUUGGACGAUGCUUUAUAAAGAUCCGACCGUGGAAUACCAGCGAGUAAGCCAUCAAGUCUGCGAUAGACACCCGCUGGGCAUCUGCUAGCUCACUUCAGUUCUACACAGCACCAGAAUACACAGGUUGAGGACUCAAUCACCAAGGCUGUCCUUAUCCCAGUUCCAGUAGCAAGUCUGAGCCUCGAGAACUUCUGACCAAUCGGCUGCAGGUUGGGCUUCCCACAACUCCCCCUUUUGUGCUGUAGCGGUCCUAGAACUCAAGGCUGUACUACUCUUAAACGUCUCAGUUUAUUUUAAAGGAUACAAAUAAUCAGCCAGAUAAGUGAUACACAGAACAAGGUCUGGAAGGGUUCCAAGCACGGGAGCUUCUGUAGACCUGCCUAGUGUGACAACCUCUUGGCAUGUGCAUGCGUUUUUGCUCACCUCCAGGUAUUCAGCUGUCCAAAAGUCUCUGAACCUUUCUUGUUUUUUUAAUGGAAAUUUUAUUUCAUGGGCAUGAUGGAAGCAUAGGCAACCAUGCUGAAAUGUUAUUGGGCAGAAAGGGUAUGAUCCACAGCUAACACACCAAGAGGGGGAAGCCAGCACAACCUGUCUAUUCACAUUCUAGUUUGGCCUUUCUGUGGAGCAGGCUUUCCUUGAGGGCAUGA